UUGUUUUUGCUAAAAAUUGUCUUAAAAAAAGUGUGAGAGACCAUGAAAUCUUCAAUAUGCUAUCCAUUUUUUUUAUUUGCAAAUGAAACUUAUCCUUAUUUUUUAAUUGGUUCUCCUUUGAAAACCCAAGAACUCUCUCAUAAAUUCAAAGUGUUAUGAAUUUUAAAAAAGAAAAAAAAGAAAGAAAACCUUAUCUGUUGCGUGGUGCAUCAGUGAUGGUCCUCCC
rnacentral:lncRNA from 1 species